rnacentral:pre_miRNA from 14 species
CAUACGGGAUACCUCAGUCACCUGCUCCUCAGAUCAGAAGGUGAUUGUGGCUUUUAGUAGAUAUUAAGCAGCCACAGCACUGCCUGGUCAGAAAGAGCAAGUGUACUUGCCUUUUGCUCCGA